ensembl:snoRNA SNORA24B small nucleolar RNA, H/ACA box 24
CUCCAUGUCUCCAUGGGGGCUGCCGCCCGUGGCUGUCCCCCUUCCUAGGCAUGGCAGAGCAGCUCCUUGCUAAUUGGCAAAGCUCCUACCAGCGCGUUGGUAGCAGUCGUUGACUGUAGCGAGGAACACGG